rnacentral:rRNA from 1 species
UAAGGAAUAUUGGUCAAUGGACGCAAGUCUGAACCAGCCAUGCCGCGUGAAGGAUGAAGGUCCUCUGGAUUGUAAACUUCUUUUAUCUGGGACGAAAACGGGAUUUUUAUCUCAAUUGACGGUACCAGAGGAAUAAGCACCGGCUAACUCCGUGCCAGCAGCCGCGGUAAUACGGAGGGUGCGAGCGUUAUCCGGAUUUACUGGGUUUAAAGGGUGCGUAGGUGGGCUUAUAAGUCAGUGGUGAAAUCUCCGAGCUUAACUUGGAAACUGCCGUUGAUACUAUAGGUCUUGAAUUAUCUGGAGGUCAGCGGAAUAUGGCAUGUAGCGGUGAAAUGCUUAGAUAUGACAUAGAACACCAAUUGCGAAGGCAGCUUACUACAUAUAAAUUGACGCUGAGGCACGAAAGCGUGGGGAUCAAACA